GAUGGCAGUACAGCAGAUCACUCAAUACAUGCUGAGACAUGAAUUCACAUUUCUACCACUAUGCAAAAUAUCAACAUCCUACGUUGAAAAUGUACUAGACGAUACUGCUAAUAAUAAGGGUUUUGUGCAACGUGCGUGUAAUGGAUGGCAGUACUGCAGAUCACUGGAGGCAUGCUGAGACAUGAAUUAGCAUUUCUAUCACUAGGGAAAGUUACAACAUUUUCCGUUGAAAAUGGAAUAGAAGAUGGCAGUAUAUCAGAUCAAUCAAGGCACGCUGAGACACGAAUUCACAUUUCUACCACCAAGGAAAGAAUCAACAUGCUAUGUUGAAAAUGGACUAGAAGAUACUGAUAAUAAUAUUGGAUUUAUGCAAUGUGCGUGCAAUGGUUAUUGAAUAUAAUUGAUUCUAAAUUAAUAGCUGUGAAACAAUUGAGAUUUGUUAAAUAUCUGAAUAAAAUAAUA